UGAUGCAGCCAUGCCGCGUGUGUGAAGAAGGCUCUAGGGUUGUAAAGCACUUUCAGUAGGGAGGAACAGCUUAAGACUAAUACUCUUGAGCCUUGACGUUACCUACAGAAGAAGCACCGGCAAACUCCGUGCCAGCAGCCGCGGUAAUACGGAGGGUGCGAGCGUUAAUCGGAAUUACUGGGCGUAAAGCGCGCGUAGGUGGUUUGAUAAGCUAGCUGUGAAAGCCCCGGGCUCAACCUGGGAACUGCAGUUAGAACUGUCUGGCUAGAGUAUAGUAGAGGGUGGCGGAAUUUCCUGUGUAGCGGUGAAAUGCGUAGAUAUAGGAAGGAACAUCAGUGGCGAAGGCGGCCACCUGGACUAAUACUGACACUGAGGUGCGAAAGCGUGGGGAGCGAACAGGAUUAGAUACCCUGGUAGUCCACGCCGUAAACGAUGUCUACUAGCCGUUGGAAGACUUGAUCUUUUAGUGGCGCAGCUAACGCGAUAAGUAGACCGCCUGGGGAGUACGGCCGCAAGGUUAAAACUCAAAUGAAUUGACGGGGGCCCGCACAAGCGGUGGAGCAUGUGGUUUAAUUCGACGCAACGCGAAGAACCUUACCAGGUCUUGACAUCCUAGAAACUUAGCAGAGAUGCUUUGGUGCCUUCGGGAAUCUAGUGACAGGUGCUGCAUGGCUGUCGUCAGCUCGUGUCGUGAGAUGUUGGGUUAAGUCCCGUAACGAGCGCAACCCUUGUCCUUAGUUGCCAGCACAUAAUGGUGGGAACUCUAAGGAGACUGCCGGUGACAAACCGGAGGAAGGUGGGGACGACGUCAAGUCAUCAUGGCCCUUACGACCUGGGCUACACACGUGCUACAAUGGCCAGUACAGAGGGCUGCAAACCCGCGAGGGGGAGCCAAUCCCACAAAGCUGGUCGUAGUCCGGAUCGCAGUCUGCAACUCGACUGCGUGAAGUUGGAAUCGCUAGUAAUCGUGAAUCAGAAUGUCACGGUGAAUACGUUCCCGGGCCUUGUACACACCGCCCGUCACACCAUGGGAGUAGGUUGCAAAAGAAGUAGCUAGGCUAACCUUCGGGAGGCCGGUUACCACUUUGUGAUUUAUGACUGGGGUG
rnacentral:rRNA from 1 species